rnacentral:pre_miRNA from 1 species
UCUUACGCAUGGGUAAAGAAGGUAGUUUCUUGAGAUGGAAUCAAUUCCUGGUGAAGAUGCUGUGAA